rnacentral:rRNA from 1 species
AUAUAACGGGGCUAAAGUAAGUACCGAAGCUGUAGACUUAGUUUACUAAGUGGUAGGAGAGCGUUCUAUUUGCGUCGAAGGUAUACCGGUAAGGAGUGCUGGAGCGAAUAGAAGUGAGCAUGCAGGCAUGAGUAGCGAUAAUUAAUGUGAGAAUCAUUAACGCCGUAAACCCAAGGUUUCCUACGCAAUGCUCGUCAUCGUAGGGUUAGUCGGGUCCUAAGUCGAGUCCGAAAGGGGUAGACGAUGGCAAAUUGGUUAAUAUUCCAAUACCAACAUUAGUGUGCGAUGGAAGGACGCUUAGGGCUAAGGGGGCUAGCGGAUGGAAGUGCUAGUCUAAGGUCGUAGGAGGUUAUACAGGCAAAUCCGUAUAACAAUACUCCGAGAACUGAAAGGCUUUUUGAAGUCUUCGGAUGGAUAGAAGAACCCCUGAUGCCGUCGAGCCAAGAAAAGUUUCUAAGUUUAGCUAAUGUUGCCCGUACCGUAAACCGACACAGGUGGGUGGGAUGAGUAUUCUAAGGCGCGUGGAAGAACUCUCUUUAAGGAACUCUGCAAAAUAGCACCGUAUCUUCGGUAUAAGGUGUGGUUAGCUUUGUAUUAGGAUUUACUCCGAAAGCAAGGAAACUUACAACAAAGAGUCCCUCCCGACUGUUUACCAAAAACACAGCACUCUGCUAACUCGUAAGAGGAUGUAUAGGGUGUGACGCCUGCCCGGUGCUCGAAGGUUAAUUGAUGGGGUUAGCAUUAGCGAAGCUCUUGAUCGAAGCCCGAGUAAACGGCGGCCGUAACUAUAACGGUCCUAAGGUAGCGAAAUUCCUUGUCGGUUAAAUACCGACCUGCAUGAAUGGCGUAACGAGAUGGGAGCUGUCUCAAAGAGGGAUCCAGUGAAAUUGUAGUGGAGGUGAAAAUUCCUCCUACCCGCGGCAAGACGGAAAGACCCCGUGGACCUUUACUACAGCUUGACACUGCUACUUGGAUAAGAAUGUGCAGGAUAGGUGGGAGGCUUUGAGUAUAUGACGCCAGUUGUAUAUGAGCCAUUGUUGAGAUACCACUCUUUCUUAUUUGGGUAGCUAACCAGCUUGAGUUAUCCUCAAGUGGGACAAUGUCUGGUGGGUAGUUUGACUGGGGCGGUCGCCUCCCAAAUAAUAACGGAGGCUUACAAAGGUUGGCUCAGAACGGUUGGAAAUCGUUCGUAGAGUAUAAAGGUAUAAGCCAGCUUAACUGCAAGACAUACAAGUCAAGCAGAGACGAAAGUCGGUCUUAGUGAUCCGGUGGUUCUGUGUGGAAGGGCCAUCGCUCAAAGGAUAAAAGGUACCCCGGGGAUAACAGGCUGAUCUCCCCCAAGAGCUCACAUCGACGGGGAGGUUUGGCACCUCGAUGUCGGCUCAUCGCAUCCUGGGGCUGGAGCAGGUCCCAAGGGUAUGGCUGUUCGCCAUUUAAAGCGGUACGCGAGCUGGGUUCAGAACGUCGUGAGACAGUUCGGUCCCUAUCUGCCGUGGGCGUAAGAAGAUUGAAGAGAUUUGACCCUAGUACGAGAGGACCGGGUUGAACAAACCACUGGUGUAGCUGUUGUUCUGCCAAGAGCAUCGCAGCGUAGCUAAGUUUGGAAAGGAUAAACGCUGAAAGCAUCUAAGCGUGAAGCCAACUCUAAGAUGAAUCUUCUCUAAGCUCUCUAGAAGACUACUAGUUUGAUAGGCUGGGUGUGUAAUGGAUGAAAGUCCUUUAGCUGACCAGUACUAAUAGAGCGUUUGGCUUAUCUUUAAUAAAGCAU